rnacentral:rRNA from 1 species
CGCUGGCGGCGUGCUUAAUACAUGCAAGUCAACUUGACUUAGAUAGCAAUAUCGAAAAGUAGGGUGGCGCACGGGUGCGUAACGCGUAGGUAAUCUGCCCUGAGGUCUGACAUAACCCGUCGAAAGGCGGGCUAACAUCAGAUGAUAUAUAAUCACGACAUCGUGGAAAUAUCAAAUCUUCGGAGCCUUGGGAUGAGCCUGCGUCUGAUUAGGUAGUUGGCGGAGUAAUAGCCCACCAAGCCUACGAUCAGUAGCUGGUCUGAGAGGAUGAUCAGCCACACUGGAACUGAGACACGGUCCAGACUCCUACGGGAGGCAGCAGUAAGGAAUAUUGCUCAAUGGGGGGAAACCCUGAAGCAGCAACGCCGCGUGAAGGAUGAAAUACUUUUGUAUGUAAACUUCUGUAAGAUGGGAAAAAUAUUCUCCUCGGGAGAAUUGAUUGUACCAUCAGAGUAAGCCCCGGCUAACUACGUG